CUAGAGUUUGAUUAUGGCUCAGGAUGAACGCUGGCGGUAUGCUUAACACAUGCAAGUCGAACGGAGUGCUUCGGCACUUAGUGGCGGACGGGUGAGUAACGCGUGAGAAUCUGGCAAAAGGUUCGGGACAACAGUUGGAAACGACUGCUAAUACCGGAUGUGCCUGUGGGUGAAAGAUUAAUCGCCUUUUGAUGAGCUCGCGUCUGAUUAGCUAGUUGGUGUGGUAAGAGCGCACCAAGGCGACGAUCAGUAGCUGGUCUGAGAGGAUGACCAGUCACACUGGGACUGAGACACGGCCCAGACUCCUACGGGAGGCAGCAGUGGGGAAUUUUCCGCAAUGGGCGAAAGCCUGACGGAGCAAUACCGCGUGAGGGAGGAAGGCUCUUGGGUUGUAAACCUCUUUUCUCAGGGAAUAAGAAAGUGAAGGUACCUGAGGAAUCAGCAUCGGCUAACUCCGUGCCAGCAGCCGCGGUAAU
rnacentral:rRNA from 1 species